GCCACCGGGUGCCCCGUUCCUUUUUUGCUUCCAUCUGCCUCCAAUGGUGAGGGGAUUGGCGCGCCCGCCCUACUCUGGUCGUUCUGCUAUCUCUGCUGCUGGAGGAUUCGUUGCAGGACCGCUAGCUGCUUUACCGGCGAGUAAAUGGAGCGAGCAAUACGCCCCCUCCCCUUCAGCACCGUGCAAGUGGGAUGCCUCUCCCCAGUUCUUCCUUUUCUGUCCCAAGAUGUGGAUCGAAAAAAUGAUAUGGGGGCUCUCCGGCUCCGGCGAGAAGAAAGGGGUGGGCGGCGAAGCAUAAAGCAAAGUUCAUUGACUUUCUGGGCGGCCAACGUAGGCGCAACUGGUUUGUUGCUUUGUUACAGUAGUGAUGUGGCCCAAGAUCUUGACUGUCGGUGGCGGCCGCUCGACAGGAUGGGGCUUGCCACACCACAUGUGGGUGGGAGGGGGGGACGGGAGUCUCCGCUAGGUUCAGGGUGCUGCAGCGGCUUGCUGCCCUCUAGGAAUCCCUCUCCUCCACUUCCUUACUCUCCUGGAUUCUCAGGAGGAGCAUAGGCCAGUCACGGCCGCUUUUGACCACCGAAAAUCCUGGGCUGCAGCGAGAUCUUGCCGUCUCGGUCAGAAGGAGAGAAGGACUGGCAGAUCUGGGCUGACACUGACGGUUAUGCUACAAACAAAUCAACGGGAGUCACAACUACUGAUGGAUCCACCUCAGUCGUGUAUAGAUCGGAGACACCAUCGAGGCAUCGAUGUCAUGCACAUCAGAAUGGGGGAUGACAGAAGAGCAUUGUCCCGAUCAGGAUAACCAAGAAGGAUGGCCUGCUUUGUGCGUCCGGGGGCAUGGGAAUGAUAGGACAUGCACACAUGGUAAGGAUAUCACGACCGAGAAAAAGUCUCUGGCAACUCCAUCCCCUCAGAAGAAAGCGAGAAGGUAGAGCUCGGACAGCCUUCCACCAGGAUUUCAUUCAUCGAAGAACACAAGCAAGCCGGCGCCAACAUCUUAGCCAAACAGAGGACACAACAAAAACAAGGCCGGGCAGGACUCUGAAGGACAGAGACUAGCAAAGCACGGAAGGCGUCCCAAGGUUGGACUUAUGCCAGGGGUAUCUUCAACCGUCGCUUCAUGCAUAGGGUAAUGGGUAGCCCUCUCGACCCACUCAAGAUCCCCAAAUCAUUAUGUAAGCACAGCAUUGGGAAUUUCCCUCAGAAAAUUGUGCUUGGGAACACGGUUGAAAAGUUCGUCUGGUGGAGUGGAGGAACUGCAUCUUCAAUUUUUCAUAGAGCACGGGUGGGAUUAUUUCGUGGAAGCCAACGACAUUAUAGAAAGCGACACCUUCAUCUACACCGUGGAUCUAGAAAGUAGCCAUCCUCUGAUACAAUGGAUGCAAGAAUGUCCAAGACCGAGAUACCUAGAGAUUAGCAUGAAAUUAAAUAACCUUUUGUCCAUCGGUACAAAAAUCUAUACUAGCCUAGCCCUUAAGUUCUAUAUAUAUAAUAGUUCUUCUAUAUUGUCCUAUGUACCUAUCAAUUGAUGAUCAAUAUGAAGUACCGGUAAUUAUUACCAAACUGAGUUUCUUUGCCUUUCUAAUACCCACUUAUUUACU